UAUUUUCAUCUCCAGAUUCUGAGGGGGAAUGACACUGAGAUGGACACAACUCUGACGUGAGGCUGAAGACUGUCUCCUCUUCUUCCUCUGCUUUCACAUGUAUCUCUUUUUUUUUUUUUUGUCACAGCCAGAGCUGCCAGCCUGCCUUCCAUGUAUCAUCAGUUCAGUUGUGUGAAGAAAUCAUUGGCUUGAUCAGCUUCAUUUUAGAAGCUUUCUGAUAUCCUGGGAUUUUAUUUUAAUGUUGUUUCCUGAGCUUUUGGAAUCCUGACAAGUAGAGAGAAUUGAAGGUAAUUCCCUGAGAAAAGCAUGUCUAGGAUACUGCUGGGGACUUUGCUUCUUCAAGAGGUGGUGAGCAUUGGUGCUAUUGAAGCCUCCUGGAAAUGAUUCUUCUCUUGACAGACUAUCCCAUCCCUUGCUUUUCAAAGACACCAUCAUGUGGGAAAUGUGAAUCUUUUACUCAUCUCUUCAAGACUCCCAAAGACAGAGAUGAGCCUUCUGUUUCCAGUGAUCGUGGGGCCCCCAGAUGAAGCCAGCCUCAAGAUAAUAAGUCAGAUGAUCGUUUCACCUUCAGGAAAUCAUUUCACCAAGGCUGCUUCCCCAUUUGAAGAACAAAAACCAGCCAUGAUGUCUAGUUUGUGACUUCCAUUGAAGGAUCCUAUGUGAAUCCCAUCCAGACAAUGCCUAAUAUGAAGUAGAUGCUCAGUAUGUAUUUAUGACAAGAAAUUCAGGCUGAGAUCUUUCCUCAAGGCACCUCUCAAUAGUUUUCCUUUCAUAUGCAGAGUAAUAUAUUUCCCCCAAACCUAUAACUGAACACCCUUCACUUUAGCUAUUAAUCAGAGGACCCUCUGGUUGCCAGGAUCUAGUCCUUUGAGUGGCUGACAGUUGGAAGUUGGAGGUGGACGGUUAAUAAGUGAUUUUUUCUUUUCACAUGUAUUUGUUUCCCUGUCAGAGAGUAAAAUAAUUUUGCAACAGGCAGCUCAGGAAAGGGGAGUCAUUGAGGCACAGGAAGAAAAUGGAAGCCCAUCUUUGCUUUUUUUCUACUGCUACAAAAAAGCUUGUUGGUCUUCAUUGGUCCAGGUUUUCUGCUCUGGGUGACCUCUGGGACAACACAGUUAAACUCUUGAACUUCCUACUGCCUCUUUCGUUCUUUUUGUAAUAACCCUAGAUGCAUUCUUAGUAGGAAACACCUCAUUUACCAUAUGAUGACUGUAUAAUUAUUUUUAUUUUAGUUUAUUUACUUUCUACCAGAAGGAGUAUAGCAGCUAAAGAAAUGCCUGUUUUGGCCAGGUGUGAUGGCUCACGCCUGUAAUCCCAGCACUUUGGGAGGUCAAGGUGGGAAGAACACUUGAGGUCAGGAGUUCAAGACCAGCCUGGCAAACAUGGCAAAGCCCCGUCUCUACUAAAAAUAUAAAAAUUAGCUAGACAUGGUGGCAUGUGCCUGUAAUCCCAGCUACUUGGGAGGCUGAGGCAGGAGAAUCGCUUGAACCCAGGAGGCGGAGGUUGCAGUGAACUGAGAUCGUGCCACUGUACCCCAGCCUGGGAGACAGAGUGAGACUUCGUCUCAAAAAAAAAAAAAAAAAAAAAAAAAUGCCCUUUUCUCCCCCUGUCCUCACAACAGGAAUACAUUUAGUUAACUAUUUGAGAAUCAUAACUGUAAAUGUUGCUGAAACACGCAUCUAUCACUAAGAAAUAUCACUGCACAGAGUGCAAAAUAUAUGACUUACAUUGCUGUAUAAUCACAUAAGAACUCUGAACAUGGCAGCUAUUACUAUCACUGUUUUGCAGAUAAGAAAACUGAGGUGCAGAGAGAUUAGUGACUUACCUCUUGCCUAGUUGGUAGCAAAGUCAGGGUUUGAACUCAGGUGUGUCUACUUCUGUUUUUCUAUUACUCUAUAUUCAGGAUCUAUGCUUCUCAUUUAAUACUUCAUCAUUACAAAAGGCUUUUGACUUUUCAAAUGUAGCAGACGAAAGACUUCUUUGCUUGAAGAUGGAAUAAGAAGUCACAGAUUCUGAGAAGAAAGAGCCAAUGGUCAUUGACUGGGGAGG
ensembl:lncRNA